GAUGAACGCUGGCGGCGUGCCUAAUACAUGCAAGUCGAGCGAACGGACGAGAAGCUUGCUUCUCUGAUGUUAGCGGCGGACGGGUGAGUAACACGUGGAUAACCUACCUAUAAGACUGGGAUAACUUCGGGAAACCGUAGCUAAUACCGGAUAAUAUUUUGAACCGCAUGGUUCAAAAGUGAAAGACGGUCUUGCUGUCACUUAUAGAUGGAUCCGCGCUGCAUUAGCUAGUUGAUAAGGUAGCGGCUUACCAAGGCAACGAUGCAUAGCCGACCUGAGAGGGUGAUCGGCCACACUGGAACUGAGACACGGUCCAGACUCCUACGGGAGGCAGCAGUAGGGAAUCUUCCGCAAUGGGCGAAAGCCUGACGGAGCAACGCCGCGUGAGUGAUGAAGGUCUUCGGAUCGUAAAACUCUGUUAUUAGGGAAGAACAUAUGUGUAAGUAACUGUGCACAUCUUGACGGUACCUAAUCAGAAAGCCACGGCUAACUACGUG
rnacentral:rRNA from 1 species